GGACCCGCACAAGCGGUGGAGUAUGUGGUUUAAUUCGAUGCAACACGAAGAACCUUACCAGGGUUUGAAAUCAUUUCAAAACUCCUUGAAAGAGGAGCCUCCUUCGGGAUGAAAUGACAGGUGGUGCAUGGCUGUCGUCAGCUCGUGUUGUGAAAUGUCGAGUUAAGUCUCGUAACGAGCGCAACCCAUGUCUCUUGUUGCUCACUGAGUGCUUAAGAGAGACUGCCGACCAACAUCGGAGGAAGGUGUGGAUGAUGUCAAGUCAGCAUGCCCCUUACAUCCUGGGCUACACACGUACUACAAUGGUAGGGACAAUGAGCUGCGAUCCUGCGAAGGCUAGCCAAUCUCAAAAACCCUAUCUCAGUUCGGAUUGUACUCUGCAACUCGAGUACAUGAAGGUGGAAUC
rnacentral:rRNA from 1 species